rnacentral:rRNA from 1 species
UACGGGGGGGGCAAGCGUUGUUCGGAAUUACUAGGCGUAAAGGGCUCGUAGGUGGCCAACUAAGUCAGACGUGAAAUCCCUCGGCUUAACCGGGGAACUGCGUCCGAUACUGGAUGGCUUGGAUUUGGGAGAGGGAUGCGGAAUUCCAGGUGUAGCGGUGAAAUGCGUAGAUAUCUGGAGGAACACCGGUGGCGAAGGCGGUUCUCUGGGCAUGACCUGACGCUGAGGAGCGAAAGUGUGGGGAGCGAACAGG